rnacentral:hammerhead_ribozyme from 1 species
AUCCCUAUGACGAGUCCCAAGUAGGACGAAAUGCGCAUCCUGGAU